AAACUAACAAGGAUUCCCCUAGUAACGGCGAGUGAAGCGGGAUGAGCUCAAAUUUGAAAGCUGGCAGUAAUGUCCGCGUUGUAAUCUCGAGAGUUGUUUUCCGUGCUGGACCGAGUACAAGUUCCUUGGAAUAGGAUGUCAUAGAGGGUGAAAAUCCCGUACUUGACUUGGACGCCCAGUGCUUUGUGAUACAUCUUCGAAGAGUCGAGUUGUUUGGGAAUGCAGCUCAAAAUGGGUGGUAAAUUCCAUCUAAAGCUAAAUAUUGGGGAGAGACCGAUAGCGAACAAGUACCGUGAGGGAAAGAUGAAAAGCACUUUGGAAAGAGAGUUAAACAGUACGUGAAAUUGUCAAAAGGGAAGCAUUUGAAGUCAGACGUGUAUUUCAGUAUUCAGCCUUGCUUUUGCUUGGUGUUUUGCUGUUGUACAGGCCAACAUCAGUUUUGAGUGACGGAUAAGGGUAGGAGGAAUGUGGCACCCUCGGGUGUGUUAUAGCCUCUUACUGGAUACGUCGUUUGGGACUGAGGAAAGCAGCGCGCCGUAAGGCAGACCUUCGGGUACUUUCGCGCUUAGGAUGUUGGCGUAAUGGCUUUAAGUGACCCGUCUUGAAACACGGACCAAGGAGUCUAACAUGUCUGCGAGUCUUUGGGUGGCAAACCCGUGGGCGCAAUGAAAGUGAAUGCAGGUGGGAUCCGCAAGGAGCACCAUCGACCGAUCCAGAUCUUCUGUGACGGAUUUGAGUAAGAGCAUAUAUGUUGGGACCCGAAAGAUGGUGAACUAUGCCUGAAUAGGGUGAAGCCAGAGGAAACUCUGGUGGAGGCUCGUAGCGGUUCUGACGUGCAAAUCGAUCGUCAAAUUUGGGUAUAGGGGCGGAAGACUAAUCGAACCAUNNNNNNNNNNNNNNNNNNN
rnacentral:rRNA from 1 species